UUUUGCUUGACGUUCUCGUUCACGACGUUCAUCGUCUUUUCGUGCUUUUUCCAAACUCUUCCAAUCGUCUCUUUCACGAGGUUUGUCCUCGGAUCUAUACUUAUCCAACUUACCUUUGCUCUUUCUCACAACUUUCGAAUCGAUCUUCUCUAAACUUCUUUUCCAAUCCGAGCUUUCAUAAUCCAAACAUUCAAGACUCUUCCCCUCGCGUGAAUCUAAUUUAUUUAAAUACUUACGUUCGGCAGAGUCUAACUUCUCUAAACUUUUACGUUCCAUACUCCUGAAUUCUCCUUUCCUAUCAUGACUUCUAUUAUAUCUUACAUCCGAACGAUCUGUGAAACUCCGUUCUAACGAUCUCAAACGUUCGAUCGUCCUCGGAUCGAAAUCGAACGUUGGUUUAUCCUGAGAAUUAAGUCUCUCAACGCUCUUACCGCGUUGCUCUUUUGACGAAAACCGUUCGAAUGGACUUUUGUUACCGGAAUCAAAACGUUCCAAAGUAUGCCUUUGAUUGUAAUCAAAGGAAGAAGUUCUGGCGCUAGAACUCUUUCUGGUUUCACGCAAUUCGAUACGAUCGACACUCUUUCUACGUUCGCGCUCUCUCGACUCCGCGUGACGAUAAACACCUCGUUCCUUUGGACUUCUCGUUAAAUGUUCGGCACUACUGCGUAACCCGUGAGAAUCUAAACGCUCGGCACUCUUACCUCUAGUUUCAUAAAAAUCUGCAUAAACCAAGGAACCUUUCUCUUUGGAAUCUAAACGUUCGAAGCUUCGAUCCCUAUCCAAUCGCUCAAUACUUCUACGUAAUUCUCUCACGUCAUUACGAUCUACACUACGUCGAUCGAACCUUCGUUCGCGCGAAUCAAGACGAUCUAUGGAUCUCCUUUCUCUAGACUCGCUUUUAUCGAUUCUUCUACAUUCUCUCGAAUACUCCCUCUCGGCACGCUUUCUCUCCUCCCUCUCGAUACUUUUACGUUCCUUUUCUUGUAUCUUCGAGUUUACUUUCUCAGAUCUCUCCUCGGUAUCCCUAGCCUUUUUAUCCCUAGAUUUAUAACCACGUCCUAAACUACUCGUCUCGUCGUACAAACGCGGUAUGUGAUCCUCCAAACUGGCAAUACUUCGCGCCCUAACUGUCCUCGCUUUUGCACUAUAAUCGACUUUACCGGUAUCAACGGGACUCAAAUCAUCAUCGAUUCUUGAUUUCGGACGCAUAAUACCCUCGUCGCGUAAUAUUUCCGAAUCGACGUGAGUAAUCUUAUAUUUCGGCUUUAAAUUCUUUAGCUCAUUAAGAACGGAAGCCUUUUGCUUUUGCACUUGCAAAACGAUGGGAUCCUUUCGAUUAGAAUCUUGGUGAGGGAUAGGAGUUUUACUAGGUUGUUCUAUGGAAGCAGCGUGUCUAGUUUCAAAUUUACGUUCUAUCUGUGUAUUCGACCGUUGUAUCCUAGACUCAGUAAUAACGUAAUCACCGUCCGCCUUGGUUACAGCUGAGUACCGAUCGAUGGAUUUCGUUUUAGUGUUUUUGAGAUCUGCGAGCACGGAUUUAAAUAAUUGCUUAUCUGAAGGCUUGACUGAUCUGUGUUUGACAAAAGAAUCGGUUUCCGAAUCUAUUUGGAACAUUUCGUGUUCGAUUCCUUCGUCGCUAUUGUCGGACAGCGGUUCGUUAUCCUCGUGGGCGCUGGAAUAAGACUCCGGAUAUUCAAAUUCGUGCUCGCGUUCCAAGAGUUCGUAAGAAUCGUGCGAGAGAUCAUCGUGUGAAAGAUCUCCAGCUGGGCCAGACUCUUCGUGACCCGAUUCGGUAGAUAACGACGAUGUUCCUGGAUAGGAGCUACUGUAUACGCGUUCGGGUACGGAAUCAUGAUCUAAGGAAGGUAAUUUCGAACUAGCGGCACUAUACGAACGAUUGGUAUCGUCGUAACGCGUUACAGGAUUAUCUAACUCGCCCUGAGAGGGUAAUUGGAAGGGCUCUAAAACAGAUUCACCGCUAUUCGUUUGAUCCUUUGGUCGCGCCUUGCCAGAAUCUUCGAAGCUAGAUGCAUACAAUUCGCGACAACUGGCAGAUCGUUGCCAAGGAUGCCUAGGUAUAGGUCGCGGUGCUGGGAAUUCGGGAGGACUGCUGUUAGAGGGGCUGAUACGACCUGCUGAUGAAAUCCGUUGCUGAUUGGUAGCAAGCGUCUGCCGCUGUGCUGGAGCCUGGCUGGGGGUGGCUGGCGAGUGGACGUCGAUAGAGGUGAGCGUCCGAAACGAUGUAGCUGUGUCGUCGCGACGGUGAAUCGUCCCUCCCAUCGAGACACUCGUCACAGUCGUCGGAGAAUCCAGUGUCAUCGAGCCGCAUGAUAGAGACAGAGCUGGGGUUGCCAGGGCUAAACAUUUAUUCGUAAUAUACAUGUAAAUAUCAUACACACAACAUGAAUUUCUCGAAGGAGAUAAAGAAGACUAAAAAAUGGCACAAAAAUAGAAAGAAAGCUGUUUUGGAGGUUGGUAUCGGUCAUGGUACAUACCAGGAUCGCCGAGGGGCAGGAGGGGGUGGGCAGAGAUGCUGGAGCUGCCCAUAAGUGAGCUGCUCGGAGUGGCCCCACGAUAGCCUCCCCCCUCCGAGCCCUGCAAUGCCCUACCACCGCUAGUCUGCCGGAACGAAUUGGACCUGCGAGCAAGAGAGAGUCAAGUUCAGCAUCAGACUUAGGCUACGAAAUGCCAAGCCUGCUCAAUUUAUCUGUUUUCCUCUUACUAAUGUAAUAGGCAAAUAUAAAACAUUAUCCUUCUUGAAGAGAAAAAAUACAUUUUAAUAUAAAUCUGCUCUAAAUGUCAGUGCUGAAAUAUGAAUAGCCUAAUCAUUAAACGAAAAAAGAAAUACCACUGCAACGCGUUUUUUGAUACGAUACACGGUCAAUGUCGCCAUUAUACUUUCUAUAUAGUGUAUGAUUAACGAAUAAUACAGUUGAAUGAAAUAAUAGAACUGAAUAAGUUUCUGUAAUAAUAACCAUUCACACAAAACUGGCCCUUUCGUAAUAAAACUUUAAACUGUUAUUUAACUGUUAUAUCCCCGCAGAACCUUAAAUUAUGGAGUAGUUUCUUAUAUAUAUAGUUAAGAAUAAAUUUCUUGGUUCUUCUGACAGAGAGUCUAAAUGUUCAGAUAAUAGACUACUGCUAUGGACAAGUAUAAUGCUGGUUAAAACCGUCAGGGCAGUGAAAUGUGAUACUCUGCAGUAUAUAUUUUUAGGUUACAAUGAUAAAUUAGUAAUCACACUAUUGAAAAAGGGUACACUGAUCAUUCGGGUUCAAUCGUGCCUGAUGGUGAGCCUGACUCCCCGCCACCCUGCCAAGCAGGCAACACUGACAAACGUAAAUGUAAAAAACGAACACAGUAGAUCAUUUAUUCUACAGAAAAUGGAAUAAUCAGGUAUAUAUACCAAUUAAUAUCCCGGUAAAAGCAAGACCGUGCCACCUCCUAUCUUAUUCACAAGUUUGGUGCGUUGGUUAAUAAAAAUCUUAAGGUUACAAAAUAACAUUAGGAAAACAAUACACAACGGCAUGCAGCACUAGCUACGAAUUACUUGGAUUUCCAAUUUCUUUUUUAAUUAGCUAACUUACUAAAGCAUCAAUAAAACUUACCUUUGGAAUGUCUGUCUCUUCACAUAAUUGUCACGAACAAAUUCAACAAUUUGCUUUUGCGUCUUUCCGCUAUAUCUGAUAACAUAAAAAGAGAUGUUGAUAUAAAGUAUUUAAUAUUAUUUAAAAUUCGUGAAUACCCUAUGAUAUAUAAUUAGUAAGUUAUUUUUCUUAUUUAAUUACAUCAGAAAUUAUGAUAUAACACAUUUAACUAUACCUGAACGAUGAACCUCGACUAAGAACCCUUGUUUUUUGUCGUACUACGUGUUUAACUACAGAACAACGGAAAAAGCCAUGAUUUUCUACACAUUUUUUCCAAAAGUUUUUACAUUCAUUGCGACCCUCGAAAAAGAAUUCAACCGUAUCCUUAUAAUAUCCCUAAAAUGAUAUAAAACAUUAUACAAUAACGUGUAUAUCUGGAAUACUGUAUUAAAUUAUUUUAAUAGAAAAACAAACUUAUAUACUUACAUAGCCUUCAGGAUGUAGUUUAAUUAAAAAUCGUUUUCGUUUAAAACUAAUCUUUCUGAUCUUUGCCCAACUAAAUGUAUUUAUCUUGGUAUAAUUUUGGAAAACUACUAUCCCCAUAUGUGCUACCGCCAAAUUCAAUGAUACUCUUUCAUGAUCCUAAUAAAAAUACCAUACAAUAUUUAUUAUCAUCGUAAAUAAACUAUAAUGAAAACUUAAAAUCUUCUCACUUUAGCUGGAUGCAUUUUUAUUCCAUAAAGUUCGCAACGUCGUGCUGUUUCUAAAAGAUUAAGGUCAGCCUCUGCAGGUGAUUGUCCACUGUAAAUAUCCAUGUAUAUUUUACGAAUGAAUUAUAUUUUUAUAUACUUACAUUGAUGUACAUUGAAAUUAAUAAAUUAAAAAAAUAUUUAUAUCACUCACGCGUGUUUUUUAUGAUUUUCCAUGAUACGUCGUUCUAAUUCUUGAUCUUGAUGAGGUACAAACUUGUAUGUUGAUAAAUAAGUAUGAUCUGGAUAAUCUUCUAUAACGUAAUCGCCACAUUCAGCUAAAAUAAAAGAAGCAUUUUAUUUAUUUCAGAAAUAGAUUAAUGAUAUUUAUUCUUGUUAUAUUAUUAUAUAAAAUAUCAUAGUGAUAUUAAAAAUAAAUUAUUAUUUAUUAACAAUUUUAUAUGUUAGUAUAAUAAUAACCUUGUACAAUAUAGCUUGCCAUUAAAGCUGCUGUAUUAUCAUUGCAUUGUAAUAAACCUUGAGCCAAAUCUCGUUUGAUUUGUAAACAAAAUAAAUAUCUUGUAAACUCCUCUUCAAGUUGUGCAGGAUCUGGUGUAUAAAAUUUAACACAAAAUCUGAGAAGAGGAUCAACCAAUGAUAAUCCCACUUGCCUACAUACUGGUUUUUCUAAAUCUAACCAAUACUGUAAAAACAAAUUAUACAUAAGUAAUUCAAUUUAAAUAUAUGAAUAAAACUAUAUUAACUUAUAAUUAUUAUAUAUGACUUACUUUUGUCCCAUUAGGUUCUUGAUAUUCA